GUCUACGGCCAUAGCACCCUGAACGCGCCCGAUCUCGUCUGAUCUCGGAAGCUAAGCAGGGUUGGGCCUGGUUAGUACUUGGAUGGGAGAAAUCAGAAGUUCUGUCACCAAUGGGUC
rfam:Felis catus isolate Cinnamon breed Abyssinian chromosome A1, whole genome shotgun sequence.